GUGCUUGGGCGAGAGUAGUACUAGGAUGGGUGACCCCCUGGGAAGUCCUCAUGUUGCAGCCC
rnacentral:rRNA from 1 species